rnacentral:rRNA from 1 species
UACGAAGGGGGCUAGCGUUGCUCGGAAUUACUGGGCGUAAAGGGCGCGUAGGCGGCACUGUUAGUCAGGCGUGAAAGUCCUGGGCUCAACCUGGGAACUGCGCUUGAUACGGCAGAGCUAGAGGAUGGAAGAGGCUCGCGGAAUUCCCAGUGUAGAGGUGAAAUUCGUAGAUAUUGGGAAGAACACCGGUGGCGAAGGCGGCGAGCUGGUCCGAUUACUGACGCUGAGGCGCGACAGCGUGGGGGAGCAAACAGGAUUAGAAAACC